CAAAUCAGGUAGGACUACCCGCUGAACUUAAGCAUAUCAAUAAGCGGAGGAAAAGAAACUAACAAGGAUUCCCCUAGUAACUGCGAGUGAAGCGGGAAAAGCUCAAAUUUAAAAUCUGGCGGUCUUCGGCCGUCCGAGUUGUAAUCUGGAGAAGCGUUUUCCGCGCCGGACCGUGUACAAGUCUCUUGGAACAGAGCGUCAUAGAGGGUGAGAAUCCCGUCUUUGACACGGACUACCGGUGCUAUGUGAUGCGCUCUCGAUGAGUCGAGUUGUUUGGGAAUGCAGCUCAAAAUGGGUGGUAAAUUCCAUCUAAAGCUAAAUAUUGGCGAGAGACCGAUAGCGAACAAGUACCGUGAGGGAAAGAUGAAAAGCACUUUGGAAAGAGAGUUAAACAGUACGUGAAAUUGCUGAAAGGGAAACGAUUGAAGUCAGUCGCGUGUGCUAGAACUCAGCCUUGCUUUUGCUUGGUGCAUUUUCUAGUGUACGGGCCAGCAUCAGUUUUGGCCGCCGGAAAAAGGCCUUGGGAAUGUGGCACCUUCGGGUGUGUUAUAGCCCUUGGUUGUAUACGGUGGCUGGGACUGAGGAACAUAGCAUGCCUUUACGGCGGGGCUUCGGCCACCUUCAUGCUUUGGAUGCUGGCGUAAUGGCUUUAAACGACCCGUCUUGAAACACGGACCAAGGAGUCUAACAUGCCUGCGAGUGUUUGGGUGGAAAACCCGAGCGCGCAAUGAAAGUGAAAGUUGGGACUUCUGUCGUGG
rnacentral:rRNA from 1 species